AUUCCAGCUCCAAUAGUGUAUAUUAAAGUUGUUGCAGUUAAAAAGCUCGUAGUUGGAUUUCUGGCGGGAGCGAUCGGUCCUUCACUCAGUGUUGGAACCUGAUUGUCUCCUGCCAUCCAUGGAGAAAACUUAUCUGGCAUUAAGUUGUCGGGUAGGCAAUCUCCAUCUUUUACUGUGAAAAAAUUAGAGUGUUCAAAGCAGGCUUAUGCCGUUGAAUAUAUUAGCAUGGAAUAAUAAGAUAGGACUAUGGUACUAUUUUGUUGGUUUGUGCACCAUGGUAAUGAUUAAUAGGGACAGUUGGGGGUAUUCGUAUUCCAUUGUCAGAGGUGAAAUUCUUGGACCGUUUGAAGACAAACUACUGCGAAAGCAUUUGCCAAGAAUGGUUUCAUCG
rnacentral:rRNA from 1 species